GAUGGGGCAGAAGAGGAUGUAGCCUCCCACCUCCUCCCCACCCUGGAGUUGGGGCCCCUCUGCCUGUGCACCCAGGAGGCCCAGCCCUCUGUUCUGUGGGCUUAGACAGAUGCAGAGAGGAAGUUCCUUGACUUUACCUCCCCCCACCCCGGUUUUCCUGCUGAGACUAAAACAUACAGGCAAAUAAAUACCAAGUUACAUGGGACGAAAGAUGAUUCCAGAAAUGAGUUUGUUUAGAAAAGAAACUUAAAUGACUCCAGAAAUCAGAUGUUUGACAAUAAGCAGACUUCGGCUUUGGAUUGAAGCAAGGUGCAAGUGCAGACAAGAACUGGAACUCCAGCUUAAGCUGUCCUGCACCCAUCCAUGCUACGGACCACCACAUUUUUCGAAGUUUCACUGUUAAGCAUGGGCCAGUGCAGAGAAAUCUGCACACCUAGAUG